rnacentral:rRNA from 1 species
AAUCCCAGAGCUUAACUCUGGAACUGCCAUCAAAACUUUUCAGCUAGAGUUUGAUAGAGGAAAGCAGAAUUUCUAGUGUAGAGGUGAAAUUCGUAGAUAUUAGAAAGAAUACCAAUUGCGAAGGCAGCUUUCUGGAUCAUUACUGACACUGAGGAACGAAAGCAUGGGUAGCGAAGAGGAUUAGAUACCCUCGUAGUCCAUGCCGUAAACGAUGUGUGUUAGACGUUGGAGAUUUAUUUUCAGUGUCGCAGCGAAAGCGAUAAACACACCGCCUGGGGAGUACGACCGCAAGGUUAAAACUCAAAUGAAUUGACGGGGACCCGCACAAGUAGUGGAGCAUGUGGUUUAAUUCGAAGAUACGCGCAGAACCUUACCAACACUUGACAUGUUCGUCGCGACUUUAAGAGAUUAAAGUUUUCGGUUCGGCCGGACGAAACACAGGUGCUGCAUGGCUGUCGUCAGCUCGUGUCGUGAGAUGUUGGGUUAAGUCCCGCAACGAGCGCAACCCUCACUUUUAGUUGCCAUCAUUAAGUUGGGCACUCUGAAAGAACUGCCAGUGAUAAGCUGGAGGAAGGUGGGGAUGACGUCAAGUCCUCAUGGCCCUUACGUGUUGGGCUACACACGUGCUACAAUGGUAUCUACAACAGGAAGCGAAACGGCGACGUUAAGCAAAUCCUUAAAAGAUACCUCAGUUCGGAUUGCACUCUGCAACUCGAGUGCAUGAAGCUGGAAUUACUAGUAAUCGUGGAUCAGCGUGCCACGGUGAAUGCGUUCCCGGGUCUUGUACACACCGCCCGUCACACCAUGGGAGUUGGUUCUACCUUAAGGCAAGGUUUCAAACCCUUGACCACGGUAUAGUCAGCGACUGGGGUGAAGUCGUAACAAGGUAAC